AAGAGAAUGGUGGUUACGGAUGAGACCUUGGAGCUCAUUGCUAAGUCCUUUAAGAAUUUCAAGGUUUUGGUGCUUACUUCGUGUGAGGGUUUCCCUACUGAUGGACUUGCCGCCAUUGGCAGCAAUUGUAAGCUUUGAUUUUUACUCUUUUCCAUUCUUGAUUCAUUUCUUAAACUUAAGUCUUGAUUGUUGGGUUGCAUAUGGUUGAUGAAGAAUUAAUGUAGAAUAUAUGACAUUUUGGUUGUGGAUGGUGGUCUGGUUUUGCAAUUAAUCACAUUGUUCUGUUUAAUUGGGUAAAAUACUCUUGCUGUAGCUUUUUAUGUCCUGCUUUUAAUGCCUAAUGUAACAUGGAAUUUUUGCUAUUUUUCUUAAAACCAUUGAGCCAACAAUGUUUAAGGUCAUAGAUUUAUUGGCAAGUUGGAUAUCAAUGGUUACUUUGGUGGGACUGUCCUUAAGGCAUUAGUGAAAUGUUAAUUCUUUAAGUUCCAAGCUCAUCAAAUGGAAAAUAAGUGAGAAAGGGUUGAGACAUGGUGCUUUAAAGGGAAGGCGAUGCAGGUUGUGGGAUGUAGUCCAUUACUGAUUGGUUGGACAAAGCUCAAUUCUAAUGGGGUUUUCAAAGGAAGUCCUUAUGUGCUUGGGGAGGCACCUGGAACCAUUACUUUGAGCCAAAUUGAAUCCGUAGCAAAGAAAUCACUUAGAAUUGUACUAUUUAUAUUCUGCAUGUAACAUUCUAGUAUUUGACUAUAUUAUUCAUUUAUUUAAAAUUCUACAUGCCUUAAAGAAAAUGAAUUAAAAAACUUAAAAAUUCAUAUUUGACUAUAGUAUUCCAUAGAAUUAAAUUUUUGCUAGCACUUGAAAAUAGUAAAUUUUAUUUCAAAUAAAAUUAAAUAGUAAAUUAUGAAAAAAAAUAUAUUUACUAAA
rnacentral:misc_RNA from 1 species